UGCGGAAGGAUCAUGUCGAAACCUGCAAAGCAGACCCGCGAACUCGUUUCCCACAACACCCGGGGGCGACGGCGUCGGCGGAGCGCGCCAUGGGCCAUGCCCAUGCCCGCCUCCGGCGUCGGGUCCCCCGUUCCGUCGCACGGGUGCUCGCACCCGUCGCACGGCCUAACCAACCCCGGCGCGGAAAGCGUCAAGGAAUAUGAAAACAUCGCCUCCUCGUUGGUGCCCCGUUCGCGGUGCGCACUAUCGGGCAACGGGCGUGUGUCCAAAUCUAAAACGACUCUCGGCAACGGAUAUCUCGGCUCUCGCAUCGAUGAAGAACGCAGCAAAAUGCGAUACUUGGUGUGAAUUGCAGAAUCCCGUGAACCAUCGAGUUUUUGAACGCAAGUUGCGCCCGAAGCCUCCAUGCUAAGGGCACGUCUGCCUGGGCGUCACGCAUCACGUCGCCCUUCGCCACCGCCCCCCGGGGAUCCGUCGGCGUUGGGUUGGAAGUUGGCCUCCCGUGCGCCUCGGCGUGCGGUUGGCCCAAAUGGGAUCCGGCAUUGGCGCGUGCCUCGACAAUUGGUGGUUGAACUACUCAACUUGCGUGUUGUCGAGAGCUCCAACGCGCCACGCUCUCCGGAUGCGUUGGCCCUCACGGUGCACUGCACCCUCGGUUGCGACCCCAGGUCAGGCGGGACUAC
rnacentral:rRNA from 1 species